CAGCCCGCGAACCUCACUCCUCUUUCCCUCGAGGUACCGUGAAAUCCCUAAUUCCCCACCACAAGCCGCCACUUGCGCCGCCGUCAACAUCGCGACGCUCACUGCUCUCUCCGGCCGGCCACUGCACCGCUCUGUCGUCCUCAAACCCUCCCGCCGCCCCACACGACCCAUCCCCCACGAGCUCAGAACCUCUCCUCCGCCAAGUUGCUCCAUCCCCACCUCAUCACCAAGAACACCGGCGUCGUCGUCGUCCUGGGCACCGGGCAGAUCCCGGCGAAGACCAGGCUCAACCUGUGCCGGAAGCUCUUGUCGGCCGUGGCGGAGCAGUGCUCCAUGCCAUCUCGCUUCUCCACCGCUAUCCCCGCGUCGUCCUGCCUCUCCACCAGUGCCCCCACACAACCCUGCUCCCCGCCGUCGCCACGUACUCCCUGCUGCUGCCGCCGGCGAUUUCCCACGAUCGGAACAAAUCAGCACCGGUGGUUUCUUUCUUCUUCAGAAGGCCAGACUUUUGCCGUUCAUAUUCAAGAGACCAUAUCCAUUUGACGUGCGAUGACACUCUGGUGAGUUUCUCUGCCUCGAGUCCUGACGGCCUCUCUCUCUCUCUCUUUGAAAAAUCCUUCAACAUUAUGUUUCUUCGUCUGCGAUUUAGUGCGCUGUAUGUGGUUGUUCUUUGCUUAGAAAACAAUUUCGUCAGAUCUGUUGGUAUAUGCUGACUCGAAGUAAUUUCAGUCUUAGAUGAAUUUUGUUCUUAAGAUGUGGUGUGUCUAGUUUUUUUCUUUAAGUAUACGAUCGCUGUUGUGAUUUAGUAGCUUGGAGGCUGGCACUUCAAUUCAAAACUGGCGUGAAUACCUAAAAUGAUAAAAAAGAGUAGGAAAUGGUGGCUAGCAAACAUAUAUAUUUUUAUAAAAUUUGUGAGCUGAAUAUCCAGGCAAUCACUUCGGUGAGUUUCUCCACCCCAUCUACAGGCCCUCCUUGUUUGUGGAUAUCAUGAAGGUAUACAACGUCUUUUCACACUUUGGAUUUUUUUUCUCAAACACCGAUCGUGGAUGUUGAUUGCUGAAGUAGAUUACUUUAACAGUAUUGCAAGUUGUUUUUACCUACAUGUGACAUCUGAACUAGCAGUUUUGUCUAGUACAAUCUCUCUUUUAAAGCUUUGAAUGAUGCUUCGAAUCCUGAAAGGUGGGUUAUUAUGCUUUGUUUGGCUAUUAAGCCAUACCUACAGGACCAAAUAUAUACACAUGGUAUAGUUAUCCCUGCAGGAUCAUGCUUGUGUGGCAAUAAUACAUUCUAAGGCAAACAAAAACAUGAGAUUAUAUUGAUAUUAUAUUAUAUAUGUACAUCUAUUGUCGCUGUACUGGUAUUCCUAUAUCUUUCCAUCUGUACAAAAAACAAAAGCACCAAAUAUAUGCUUACCUCCGCUAUGUCAGGGGCACUUAGACAAGAAAGGAUAUGGUUUCAGAUAUGAGUUAGAAAAAAUUUCAAGCCAUCAUCAAGCAAUGGAGGAAGCUAUAGAUCCUGGAGCAUCGAACAUAUAAAUCACGCUAGGCAACCCGCCAUUUUGGAGGCAUUGUCAUGACGCAGCAGUAUGGGUCGCUCGAUUCUUUUAUGACUGUACUUUUUUGGUUGCUGGCAGUCGGUACACCGUUAAUUGUUUCUCCACCUGAGUUGUACACUACCUUUUUAUUUUUAUUUAGAUUCUUUCGGAUUUCCAGUUUAUUAGCUGCAAAAGGGGUCCAGUAAUCUACAUUCUACAUAAAGCUUAGGCUUUAAUUGAUUGUUAUGUCAAGUGAGAUCAUGCAUGAUAAGGAUUAUUGCUGUUGGAGGAAACAUUGUGUACAAUAUGUUUGGUGGUAGUUAAAAGGAGGGGAACAUAUUAUUGUGAUUUUAUAGUUUCUUGGAAGUAGUUUCAUCUAUUUGUUUACAACAUUGUUGGUUUGCUGCCUUUUAGUAUUGGAGUGUGUAAUCACACACGUUCUUAUACCUUCUAGGUUAUUUCUCGUUUUAACUCCUCUCCUGUGGAUUCUCCUAAGUUGCAGGCGAAGAUGAACUCCUGAUGGUCUACGCCGUCCUGCUUUGCCAUGGAGGUAAAUGAGCCGAAGUGUACCAGGGAAUAUGCAUAUACACCACACCUAAUCCACCACUAUUUUCUUGUGGCGACUGGCGAGGAGAAGAUACAAAUGCCUUCCAAUCCACCACUUAUCCCCACUACUAUUUCUUUGCCAGUGACCUGGGUUUCCAUGUACUUGAUAGAUACUUUCCUUAUGAUAUGUGUUUUAUGUAUGUAUAUAUGUUUCUGGCCAUAAAUAUAUAGCUAGCACCAACUUUUACUGCUUUCCGUGGAACUUUGACGAGUACCCUUUAAUCCACUAAUUUUGGACCUGUUAGUUUGGGCACUGAAAACUUUGAAAAGUACCUUUGAAUUAGAGGACUAAACUAACAGGUCCGAAAUCCUGAAGCCCAAAUGAAUCAGUUUUCAGUCUAAAUGAAUGGUGUUAUAGGAGAAGCUAAUCUGAAUGUAUGCACGGGAUUACUUCACUUGACGUACAUUAUCUGGAUCCUUGGCCACUUUUAUGCAAAAGCCUUCGAUCUCUUACUCCACUAUAGAGUUUGAUUGAGAAGUUUGGGCCUUUGGUCUUCUCUGUUACCUGAAACUUUAAAUCUGACUACAAAGCCUCAAAAGUCAAAACUCAAUUCAUGUAAAAAUCGGCAAGAGUUUAGGGGAUUUGGCUCCACAUUUUUUGAUCUUGUUAGUACUUUCACCUUGCUAAUUCAAAAUGUGUGAAUGUAGAGUUGGAGAAACUACCACAAGUCAAGGUGAGACCCAUGCCUGAAAAGGGGAAAUCACUCUGGAGUCGGCUCAAGAACAAGGCUAGACCCCAAUCUUGUUUACUCACUGUAUUCACUAUCUAUAAAGUUGUAUGCUUAUUUUCUUGGCAAAUAAGUGUUGGAAUAUUGGCUUCUCAUACCUAUGUACAGUAACUUAAGUAUAUCCCCAGGAGACUAUAUGAUCAGCAAUCAUACAAAGUAAUCAAAAUGAUGUGUUUUCUUUCAAAUAGAUAGACAAAAGGUGGACCGAGGGCUUCUGGCUAUUGCUGGAAGUUGAUUGGAGGUCUUCACGUGCAGAAAUGCUAGUUUUGUAGAUUAGGCAACAAACAUAAGGACUCGACUCACAAUGAACCAUGAAGCCAGCGAUCUGCAUCAAAUGAAUGUUUUAGUUUUCAUCUUGCAACUGAUGUCUCAUAGUUGCAGUCUUUUCGCUGUCCUUUGUUGAACCUGAUGUAUGGUGUCUUGGUGGUUAUGUUUGGAACAUACUGAAGUAUAUGUAUGUGACCAUUAGUUAAUGGAAUAAAAAAUGUUUGGUGC
rnacentral:rRNA from 1 species